GCUGCGGUAGUGUAAUGGUUAACAUUUUUGCCUAGUAAGCAAGAAGACCCGGGUUCGAAUCCCGGCUGUAGCA